rnacentral:rRNA from 1 species
AACGAACGCUGGCGGCAUGCCUAACACAUGCAAGUCGAACGAGACCUUCGGGUCUAGUGGCGCACGGGUGCGUAACGCGUGGGAAUCUGCCCUUGGGUUCGGAAUAACUCAGAGAAAUUUGAGCUAAUACCGGAUGAUGUCGUAAGACCAAAGAUUUAUCGCCCAAGGAUGAGCCCGCGUAGGAUUAGCUAGUUGGUGAGGUAAAAGCUCACCAAGGCGACGAUCCUUAGCUGGUCUGAGAGGAUGAUCAGCCACACUGGGACUGAGACACGGCCCAGACUCCUACGGGAGGCAGCAGUGGGGAAUAUUGGACAAUGGGCGAAAGCCUGAUCCAGCAAUGCCGCGUGAGUGAUGAAGGCCUUAGGGUUGUAAAGCUCUUUUACCCGGGAUGAUAAUGACAGUACCGGGAGAAUAAGCUCCGGCUAACUUCGUGCCAGCAGCCGCAGUAA